AGGUGCGAAAGCGUGGGAGCAAACGGGAUUAGAUACCCCGGUAGUUCACGCCGUAAACGAUGUCUACUAGCCGUUGGAGGACUUGAUCCUUUAGUGGCGCAGCUAACGCGAUAAGUAGACCGCCUGGGGGAGUACGGUCGCAAGAUUAAAACUCAAAUGAAUUGACGGGGGCCCGCACAAGCGGUGGAGCAUGUGGUUUAAUUCGAAGCAACGCGAAGAACCUUACCUACUCUUGACAUCCAGUGAACUCUUGAGAGAUCAAUUGGUGCCUUCGGGAACACUGAGACAGGUGCUGCAUGGCUGUCGUCAGCUCGUGUUGUGAAAUGUUGGAUUAAGUCCCGUAACGAGCGCAACCCUUGUCCUUAGUUACCAUCAUUAAGUUGGGGACUCUAAGGAGACUGCCGGUGACAAACCGGAGGAAGGCGGGGACGACGUCAAGUCAUCAUGGCCCUUACGAGUAGGGCUACACACGUGCUACAAUGGCAUGUACAAAGGGUUGCCAAGCCGCGAGGUGGAGCUAAUCCCAUAAAGCAUGUCGUAGUCCGGAUUGGAGUCUGCAACUCGACUCCAUGAAGUCGGAAUCGCUAGUAAUCGUGAAUCAGAAUGUCACGGUGAAUACGUUCCCGGGCCUUGUACACACCGCCCGUCACACCAUGGGAGUGGGUUGCUCCAGAAGUAGAUAGCUUAACCUUCGGGAGGGCGUUUACCACGGAGUGAUUCAUGACUGGGGUGAAGUCGUAACAAGGUAACCGUA
rnacentral:rRNA from 1 species